AUACGUAGGGUGCGAGCGUUGUCCGGAAUUACUGGGCGUAAAGAGCUCGUAGGUGGUUUGUCGCGUCGUCUGUGAAAUUCCGGGGCUUAACUCCGGGCGUGCAGGCGAUACGGGCAUAACUUGAGUACUGCAGGGGAGACUGGAAUUCCUGGUGUAGCGGUGAAAUGCGCAGAUAUCAGGAGGAACACCGGUGGCGAAGGCGGGUCUCUGGGCAGUAACUGACGCUGAGGAGCGAAAGCAUGGGUAGCGAACAGGAUUAGAUCCCCUGGUAGUCCAUGCCGUAAACGGUGGGCGCUAGGUGUAGGGGUCUUCCACGACUUCUGUGCCGUAGCUAACGCAUUAAGCGCCCCGCCUGGGGAGUACGGCCGCAAGGCUAAAACUCAAAGGAAUUGACGGGG
rnacentral:rRNA from 1 species